rnacentral:rRNA from 1 species
GGCCUCAAAUCAGGUAGGACUACCCGCUGAACUUAAGCAUAUCAAUAAGCGGAGGAAAAGAAACUAACAAGGAUUCCCCUAGUAACGGCGAGUGAAGCGGGAAGAGCUCAAAUUUGAAAUCUGGUGGACUUUGUUCAUCCGAGUUGUAAUCUAGAGAAGUGUUUUCCGUGCCGGCCAAUGUACAAGUCCCUUGGAACAGGGCGUCAUAGAGGGUGAGAAUCCCGUACUUGACAUUGAUCACCGGCGCUCUGUGAUACAUUUUCAAAGAGUCGAGUUGUUUGGGAAUGCAGCUCAAAAUGGGUGGUAAAUUCCAUCUAAAGCUAAAUAUUGGCGAGAGACCGAUAGCGAACAAGUACCGUGAGGGAAAGAUGAAAAGCACUUUGGAAAGAGAGUUAAACAGUAUGUGAAAUUGUUAAAAGGGAAACGAU